UUACUGUAUUGUACUGUGAAUGCCGAAAUGAUAUUUUUUGCAUGCGUGUACAUCCUUAUGUGUAAAAUGACAAUGCUGAACAUUUGGGAAUUGAGGUUUGAAUGAAGGACUUCUGUUGCAUGUCAU